UCAGGGCUGAGUCUCUGGGGAAGGCAUAGCUUUGACCGAAAAGAAGAUGAUUCUGUGGGGUCUUCUCCUCUGCCUGGGGACAGGCCCCCUGGGUGCUGUGUCUGCUCUGACCCUACAGGAGUCGGGCCCAGGACUGGUGAAGCCCUCCCAGACCAUCUCCCUCACCUGCUCUGUCUCUGGGGGCUCUGUCAGCAGCAGUUACUACUGGAAUUGGAUCCGCCAGAGCCCUGGGAAAGGGUUUGAAUGGAUGGGGUACUGGAGCGGUGGUACCAGCUACAACCCAGCAUUCCAGGGCCGCAUCUCCAUCACGGCUGACACCUCCAAGAACCAGUUCUCUCUGCAGUUGAGCUCUGUGACCCCCGAGGACACAGCCGUGUAUUACUGUGCAAGAACUGUGAUGUCCGAUUCUGAAAUAAGAAUUAUCUGUGGAACACCAAUACUUAAGAAACACGUGCACCAUGUGAUCACGUCACUCAAUGCUUUCAGAAGAUCUACUUAUAUCUACAAGGUGAACAGAGUAGAAUAA